rnacentral:rRNA from 1 species
AUUGAACGCUGGCGGCAUGCCUUACACAUGCAAGUCGAACGGUAGAGGGGGCAACCCCUCGAGAGUGGCGAACGGGUGAGUAAAGCAUCGGAACGUGCCCAGUAGUGGGGGAUAGCCCGGCGAAAGCCGGAUUAAUACCGCAUGAGACCUACGGGUGAAAGGGGGGGAUCGCAAGACCUCUCGCUAUUGGAGCGGCCGAUGUCAGAUUAGGUAGUUGGUGGGGUAAAGGCCUACCAAGCCGACGAUCUGUAGCUGGUCUGAGAGGACGACCAGCCACACUGGGACUGAGACACGGCCCAGACUCCUACGGGAGGCAGCAGUGGGGAAUUUUGGACAAUGGGCGCAAGCCUGAUCCAGCCAUGCCGCGUGCGGGAAGAAGGCCUUCGGGUUGUAAACCGCUUUUGUCAGGGAAGAAAUCCUUUGAGCUAAUACCUCGGGGGGAUGACGGUACCUGAAGAAUAAGCACCGGCUAACUACGUGCCAGCCGCCGCGGUAACAC